UUGGCAUCUGAAGUCCCCUAGGAUUCAGCCUUGACCUGUGGGCUACGAUGCUGUUUCCAGGUGGAUAGUGUCAGAAUUGAGAUUGUGAAACACUUUCCCAAGGCUCAAACCCUUUUGUCAUUGAAGAUCUGAAGGAGGAGCCUAAGGAUGUUCUUAGAACAGGGCUCAGAGCUUAAAACCUUAAAGAACUUAAAGACAAAGUCCAGCUCUCCCAGUCUGCCGGGCCUUGUGUGGUCAAUUCCAGGCUCAGAAGAAGAUGGGCCUAAGGAGCACUGAAGUGGCUGUGGCAGGACAGGCUUCCGGCUGGAGCUCUGCAUUCUUUACAUUCCUGGCAGAUGUCAAUCCAGUUCAUUUUUUUUUUUUUAAAUCCAGUUCAUUUUUAUCUGCAGACUGUGUCAUGGGUGACUAUCUGUUGGGUGGAUGCGUUUUAGGGGAGAAAGCCUGUGGUUCGGUCCCAGCUAGACCAGGAGGCUUGGGAACACCAGGACCCCUCUUGAGUCUCUUAGCACUCUGCCUGACACAAAGUGGGGGCUUGAUAAGCACUUCCAGGACUCACAGACACACCAUUCCUCCCUCUUUCCAAGGGAAGUUGGAUCAUCGACGCCAGAGCUAGGUUCUUUCAGCUGCAAAGCACUUGUGGCUUUCCGGUGACUCAUCACUGGCUGGAGUAGGGCUGCCUGCAGUGCUGGUAAUGGACUAAGCUAGCCUCUCAGAGCUGCUGCUGAGCCAGGAGUUCCAUUCCUCGAGGAGCUGGGGAGAGAAAGCCCCAGCUGGUGGAAAGGACCCGAGUGUUUUCCCAGCCACUGACUUGAGACUCCUUCAGUCUCGAUUCACACCCACUGGCCUAUAGAAUAGCAAGACCUCUGCCCACAAUCACAGUUCCUUUGUCAUCGCAUCCAGAGAAGUCCAAAAGGACGGAAAAGGGGCUGGAAAGGCUGAGCCUCUGGGGAGAAAGGAAUCAGUGCUGUUCCAGAUGAACCCUCCCA